GUAGUUGGGUACACAACGCCACCAUCCAGCUCCGGCAAGCUUUCCAACUUCCGUCUUGUGCCUUCGGAACUCUGACGAGCUUCUCGGGCCGCAUUUGACUUUUGGGACAGUAACAGCGAAGAUAGGAAGGGCAGGGUCUCGAUUUGAAGUUAGAAAAGAGAAGCACCAUUGAUAUUGUUUCUGGGAAUCAUCAGAGGUAGAAAAUUUUGUUUUAAUACCUCUGUAGUAUCUCAUUGUUGUUGUUUGUGGAUUGCAGUUGGUUUGGGAGACCAGAAAUAGGAUCGGAGAGAUAAGGGUAAAAAUAUUGGUUUUUACCAUUUUACUUUUUACCCCUUUUUCUGUUUUACUAUCCAUGUGAAAUUACCAAAAUACCCCUGGCAGAAAUUACUGUUUUUCUAUUUAACCUUAUUGUUUUACGGUUUUAUCCUAAGAUACCUUUUUACUAUU